AAAACAGGAAGUAUAAAAAAAGAACGAAAAAAAUCAGGUUAGUUAUCUGCGAUUUUUGCAAGACUUCUGAUCUCCUUUCCAUCUAUUUUAAUCAACAAACACCCUAGUUUUACGUGGCAUUGUCUGGAAAAGUUUAUCAGGCAUUGCUGGAUUCCCCGGAAAUACACGAACACACUGCGGAAAAACCCGAGAGCGAACAUGACGUCAAAAGAUGACAUCAUGGCGGCCAUUGGACUCUAUUGUAAGAACGACGAUGAAUUUUCCGGUAAUUCAAGCAAUGAACAUGAUUCUGAAGGAUCCCAAGAAGACGCUGCAGUUCCUGAGAGUCACCAACAGAGAACAGCCUCAGGGUACCUCCUAUCGCCAGAGGCCAAUGUUUAUCAAACGUUGUAAUUUGCUCAUCCAUCCAUCCAUUUUCUGAGCCACCUUGUUCCUCUGAACUGUGAGGCCAACACUCUACAGCUGCGCUGCCAUGCUGCCGAACUUCCUCAUCGCAACGAUUAAAUUACUCACUAUUUUAGCUUGCAUUUGCUCAUGAAUAAAGCUGGCACUUGGAUGUAUCUCCUACUGCUCUCUCUUCUGUCAUUCUCAGACCAUCUGAAACUGAUACAGCACAUGUGAAAGCCAUCAGUUAAAGGUCAGAAGAGAAACACUGUUUGAUAUCUUACUGUCGACAACAUUGUUUGAGUCUGAACUGGACUGCUGAGCAAGUGAUCCGGGCAGUUAAAAAUGAAGCCAUAUUGUGAGAUUCCUUUUAAGAUGCAUCUUCUCACCUUUUUCUUUGACUGGAAGAAAUUAAGUAUUUUAAGAUGGUGAGGUUUCUCUCCUGUGGGGUUGGGUUCAAGCACUUGACUGGUUUGGGGUGCUUCCUCAUAAAUAUAGGUUUGCAGUUCUUACAGAGGAAAACAAUAUUUAUCAUACUGAUUAAUUACUGGUUAUUGUGAGAACCUGCGUAUGAAUAUGUGAAGUGAAUGUUAAUGUGUAUGUACCCUUGGGUAGGAGUGAUAGAGGAAGACAAAAGAAAAGGAAAAAGAAGAAAGAAAGGAAGAUUAAAGUAAUUAGACCUACAGGUGAGGUUGCCUCUGCCAAGGAAAGAAAACACGCACACACACGCAGAGACACACAUACAGACACACGUGCGAGCAAACAUAUAUC